CCAAUAUCCAAUCCCACACAGUGUGCUUCUGCUCAAUAAAUUAACAGUAACAGUGUCAAGUGUCAUGUUGUGAAUAUAAUUUAACCAAUGUUGGUAUAUAUCAGUAGAAUCUCGGAUGGCAGCAAAACACUAAUUGUUACUCAUAUACCACCAAUACAGGUAUAUAGUAAUACGAUCUCUAGAUGAUAAAAAGCUCAAAGUGCUUUUUAAAAAAAACUUCACAUUUAUUGAAAAUAAAAUUGAAAUCAGAACACACUCACAAAAAUGAAGUGUAGUAUUCCAGCAAAUGAGUCCUUAUCGGGUAAGCAAAAUCGGGGGAUGGUCAGCAAACUGUGGAAGAACUUUCUCCGGCCGGUGAAAUUAUCUUACUGUGUUGGGAGAGGUGUUUUAAUCAGUUGGAUUAAAACAGUUGGAUUACUGCAUGGACUCUAUCCUUACAGGGAUGGUCGUAGAAGUCCGUUAUAAACAUAACGGUGGCCGCCAUUCGGCAUACGAUCCCGAAUGCGGUCAGCAGGACUUAAGCGUGAAUUGCCUGGAACUGUUUUCGGCAUGGCAAUCACGCGAACGGCCGGUCAUUAUGGAAGUCCCGACUAACUACUUUCCAUUCAACGUAUCAAACCGGUAUUCGGGAGUUUUAAUGAUUGUUAUAUUUGUAUGUUAUGCAGAAAGUACUUUUCUAAAAAUGUAAAAAAAAAAUGUGUAUUUAUAGCCAGCAGAUAAUUGAGUUUAGUAUGUUGCUGAAACUCAAUUAUCUAGCCUGGCCCAGAGGAGGAGUUAUGUAUUGUAUAAAUUGAAUACCUGUUGCUCAGUAAAUCAGUCUUGU